rnacentral:rRNA from 1 species
AGAGUUUGAUCCUGGCUCAGGACGAACGCUGGCGGCGUGCUUAACACAUGCAAGUCGAACGGAGAACUUAUUUCGGUAAGUUCUUAGUGGCGAACGGGUGAGUAACGCGUGGGCAACCUGCCCUCCAGUUGGGGACAACAUUCCGAAAGGGAUGCUAAUACCGAAUGUGCUCCCUUCUCCGCAUGGAGGAGGGAGGAAAGAUGGCCUCUGCUUGCAAGCUAUCGCUGGAAGAUGGGCCCGCGUCUGAUUAGCUAGUUGGUGGGGUAACGGCGUCACCAAGGCGAUGGAUCAGUAGCCGGUCUGAGAGGAUGAACGGCCACGAUUGGGACUGAGACACGGCCCAAACGUCCUACGAGAGGCA